UACAGAGGGGGCAAGCGUUGUCCGGAUUUACUGGGCGUACAGCGCGCGCAGGCGGUUGCGUAUGUGAGCGGUGACAUCCGCGGGCUCAACCCGCGGCGGCCCGCUUACACAGCGCGACUGGAGGCAGGGAGAGGGAUGUGGAAUACCCGGUGGAGCGGUGAAAUGCGUAGAGAUCGGGUGGAACACCAGCGGCGAAGGCGGCAUCCUGGCCCUGAACUGACGCUGAGGCGCGAUAGCGUGGGGAGCAAACGGG
rnacentral:rRNA from 1 species